rnacentral:tRNA from 1 species
GGGCGUGUAGCUCAGUUGGGAGAGCACCUGGCUCGCACUCAGGAGGUCAGGGGUUCGAAUCCCCUCACGUCCA